AAUGAAUCUACCCUCACGGGUAACCAAUACACAAAGGGCCAGCGAGAGCUGGUCCAAUGUGGCCACCAUUUGUUGAAACACCUUCUUUUGCUUUGGCAGCACCCGACGCCUAACCGCGGAGGGGUAAGGCUGCCGAAAGCCUAUAACAAAACCAGUUGAUGAAAUGUCAUGCUGUCUGAUACUACUUAGUAUUUGAGAAAUCAAAUCUAUAUUA
rnacentral:misc_RNA from 1 species